GGGAGUGUCGUUCAGUGGUAGAACCUGUGCUUGGCAUGCUCAAGGCCCUGGCUUCAAUUUCCAGCACCA
rnacentral:tRNA from 1 species